GUGGGGAAUAUUGGACAAUGGGCGCAAGCCUGAUCCAGCCAUGCCGCGUGAGUGAUGAAGGCCUUAGGGUUGUAAAGCUCUUUUGUCCGGGAAGAUAAUGACUGUACCGGAAGAAUAAGCCCCGGCUAACUUCGUGCCAGCAGCCGCGGUAAUACGAAGGGGGCUAGCGUUGUUCGGAAUCACUGGGCGUAAAGCGCACGUAGGCGGACCAUUAAGUCAGGGGUGAAAGCCUGGAGCUCAACUCCAGAACUGCCUUUGAUACUGAUGGUCUCGAGUAUGGAAGAGGUUGGUGGAACUGCGAGUGUAGAGGUGAAAUUCGUAGAUAUUCGCAAGAACACCGGUGGCGAAGGCGGCCAACUGGUCCAUUACUGACGCUGAGGUGCGAAAGCGUGGGGAGCAAACAGGAUUAGAAACCCUGGUAGUCC
rnacentral:rRNA from 1 species